UACGUAGGGAGCGAGCGUUGUCCGGAAUUACUGGGUGUAAAGGGAGCGUAGGCGGGAUGGCAAGUCAGAUGUGAAAACUAUGGGCUCAACCCAUAGACUGCAUUUGAAACUGUUGUUCUUGAGUGAGGUAGAGGUAAGCGGAAUUCCCGGUGUAGCGGUGGAAUGCGUAGAUAUCGGGAGGAACACCAGUGGCGAAGGCGGCCUACUGGCCACCAACUGACGCUGAGGCUCGAAAGUGUGGGUAGCAAACAGG
rnacentral:rRNA from 1 species